GCCGGUGUGAUGGAAUUGGCAGACGUGACGGACUCAAAAUCCGUUGGGGCGACCCGUGCCGGUUCAAGUCCGGCCACCGGUACCA
rnacentral:tRNA from 2 species